rnacentral:sRNA from 1 species
GAUGGCACAAUCAGCGAGGACACCAUCCGAGCCUCUCUCAUCUCUGCGGUCAGUGACAAACUGAGAUGGCGGAUGAAGGAGGAAAUGGAUCGUGCCCAGGCAGAGCUCAAUGCCUUGAAACGAACAGAAGAAGACCUGAAAAAGGGUCACCAGAAACUGGAAGAGAUGGUUACCCGUUUAGAUCAAGAAGUAGCCGAGGUUGAUAAAAACAUAGAACUUUUGAAAAAGAAGGAUGAAGAACUCAGUUCUGCUCUGGAAAAAAUGGAAAAUCAGUCUGAAAACAAUGAUAUCGAUGAAGUUAUCAUUCCCACAGCUCCCUUAUACAAACAGAUCCUGAAUCUGUAUGCAGAAGAAAACGCUAUUGAAGACACUAUCUUUUACUUGGGAGAAGCCUUGAGAAGGGGCGUGAUAGACCUGGAUGUCUUCCUGAAGGUAUUUCUUCAUUUUACGUUCCAAGAUUUUUUAACUUGGGUUGUAGAGGCACUGACCUUGCAAACCACAAACCAAGAGAGUUUCUUUGUAGUAUGGAUUAAGAUUCUUUAUCUUCCCAAAAAACACUAAAUGAGAUGUA